rnacentral:rRNA from 1 species
UACAGAGGGUGCAAGCGUUAAUCGGAAUUACUGGGCGUAAAGCGUGCGCAGGCGGUUGUGCAAGACAGAUGUGAAAUCCCCGGGCUUAACCUGGGAAUUGCAUUUGUGACUGCACGGCUAGAGUGUGUCAGAGGGGGGUAGAAUUCCACGUGUAGCAGUGAAAUGCGUAGAUAUGUGGAGGAAUACCGAUGGCGAAGGCAGCCCCCUGGGAUAACACUGACGCUCAUGCACGAAAGCGUGGGGAGCAAACAGG